rnacentral:rRNA from 1 species
AUUGAACGCUGGCGGCAAGCCUAACACAUGCAAGUCGAACGAGUGGCGGACGGGUGAGUAAUGUCUGGGAAACUGCCUGAUGGAGGGGGAUCACUACUGGAAACGGUAGCUAAUACCGCAUACCAUCGGAUGUGCCCCGAUGGGAUUAGCUAGUAGGUGGGGUAAAGGCUCACCUAGGCGACGAGCCCUAGCUGGUCUGAGAGGAUGACCGGCCACACUGGAACGGAGACACGGUCCAGACUCCUACGGGAGGCAGCAGUGGCGAAUAUGGCACAAGGGGCGCAAGCCUGAUGCAGCCAGGCGGCGUGUAUGAAGAAGGCCUUCGGGUGGUAAAGUACUUUCAGCGGGGAGGCGUUACCCGCAGAAGAAGCACCGGCUAACUCCGUGCCAGCAGCCGCGGUAAUUC